rnacentral:rRNA from 1 species
GUCCUUUUGAAUUUAAUUUAAGGUUUGACCUGCCCGCUGAUUUAUUGAAGGGCCGCAGUAAUUUGACUGUGCAAAGGUAGCAUAAUCAUUAGUUUUUUAAUUAAAAGCUUGUAUGAAGGGUUGGACGAGGUAAAUUCUGUCUCUAAUUAAUUUAUAUUAGAAUUUAAUUUUUAAGUUAAAAAGCUUAAAUUAAUUUAAAAGACGAGAAGACCCUAUAGAUCUUUAUAUUAUUAUUAUUAAUUUUAAUUAAGAUUAUUUUAUUUUUUAAUAAUAUUAAUAUUUUAUUGGGGUAAUAAAGAGAUUUAAUUAAUUCUUUUUUUUAUUUUACAUAGAUAAAUGAUUGCAUGAUCCAUUAUUAUUGAUUAAAAGAUUAAGUUACCUUAGGGAUAACAGCGUAAUUUUUUUAAAGAGUUCAUAUCGAUAAAAAAGUUUGCGACCUCGAUGUUGGAUUAAAAAUUAAUUUAGGUGUAGAAGCUUAAAUUUUUGGUCUGUUCGACCAUUGAAUUUUUACA